UUUUCAAUUGUAGCAGGAAGAAGAACUACAAAAGGUUUGGUUCGAAGCAGCCUAGGCUUGAACAUUACCAGCUCCGUGUUUGCCUUCUCGGGGAUCGUAAUCAGCUCACUGAGCCCAGGCAUUUAUUCUUUCCAUGUAUAUUACUGUACAUAUAGAGGUUCAUCAGAAGGCUGUCACAUGACCUUGUCCAUUUUAAUGGGUCUGGAUAUUGUGGUAGUCGUUUUAAGUGUGCUGGAAUUCUGCAUAGGAGUAUCCCUCUCUGCCUUUGGAUGCAGGGUGAUGUGUU
rnacentral:lncRNA from 1 species